rnacentral:rRNA from 1 species
AUUGAACGCUGGCGGCAUGCUUUACACAUGCAAGUCGAACGGUAACAGGCCGCAAGGUGCUGACGAGUGGCGAACGGGUGAGUAAUGUAUCGGAACGUGCCCAGUCGUGGGGGAUAACGCAGCGAAAGCUGUGCUAAUACCGCAUACGAUCUAUGGAUGAAAGCGGGGGACCGUAAGGCCUCGCGCGAUUGGAGCGGCCGAUAUCAGAUUAGGUAGUUGGUGGGGUAAAGGCCUACCAAGCCGACGAUCUGUAGCUGGUCUGAGAGGACGACCAGCCACACUGGGACUGAGACACGGCCCAGACUCCUACGGGAGGCAGCAGUGGGGAAUUUUGGACAAUGGGCGCAAGCCUGAUCCAGCAAUGCCGCGUGCAGGACGAAGGCC